rnacentral:lncRNA from 1 species
CUGGAGGUGAACCUUUAAGGACCAAAAUUUAGUCGCCAAAAGUUUUACCUCCAGCCUGCGCGAAAUAUUGGACUCGUGCCAACUUGGUAUUACUUUUCCGCAACCAAAUAUGCAUUUAGUCGGUGUAGGAUAAUUAUUCAGUAACUAACAAGAAUGUUGGUCGCAGAUAGCCUUAUUUUCAGCGACCAAACUUUAGUUGCCAAACAUUUUACCUCCACCCCGCCAACUUGAUUUUGAUUUUCUGCGACCAA